CCUACGGGAGGCAGCAGUGGGGAAUAUUGGACAAUGGGCGAAAGCCUGAUCCAGCAAUGCCGCGUGAGUGAUGAAGGCCUUAGGGUUGUAAAGCUCUUUUACCAGGGAUGAUAAUGACAGUACCUGGAGAAUAAGCUCCGGCUAACUCCGUGCCAGCAGCCGCGGUAAUACGGAGGGAGCUAGCGUUGUUCGGAAUUACUGGGCGUAAAGCGUGCGUAGGCGGUGACUCAAGUCAGAGGUGAAAGCCUGGAGCUCAACUCCAGAACUGCCUUUGAAACUAGGUCGCUAGAAUCACGGAGAGGUGAGUGGAAUUCCGAGUGUAGAGGUGAAAUUCGUAGAUAUUCGGAAGAACACCAGUGGCGAAGGCGGCUCACUGGACGUGUAUUGACGCUGAGGCACGAAAGCGUGGGGAGCAAACAGGAUUAGAUACCCUGGUAGUCCACGCCGUAAACGAUGAUAACUAGCUGCCGACGGCGUCUUAGUAGUCGUUUGGUUGGGUCGGCGACGACUAACCGACAUUAAGUUUAGUUCCGUCCGUCGGGGUAGGUACGGUCGGCGAAGUAAGUUAAAACGUUAACGAAAGUAAAGUUAGUUACGGCGUUGAGACGUGCCGACGGACGACGACGAGGGGAGGUUAGGAG
rnacentral:rRNA from 1 species